GGUUAAGUUAGAAAGGGCGCACGGUGGAUGCCUUGACACUAGGAGUCGAUGAAGGACGGGACUAACGCCGAUAUGCUUCGGGGAGCUGUAAGUAAGCUUUGAUCCGAAGAUUUCCGAAUGGGGAAACCCACCAUACGUAAUGGUAUGGUAUCCUUAUCUGAAUACAUAGGGUAAGGAAGACAGACCCAGGGAACUGAAACAUCUAAGUACCUGGAGGAAGAGAAAGCAAAUGCGAUUUCCUGAGUAGCGGCGAGCGAAACGGAACAUAGCCCAAACCAAGAGGCUUGCCUCUUGGGGUUGUAGGACAUUCUAUACGGAGUUACAAAGGAACGAGGUAGACGAAGCGACCUGGAAAGGUCCGUCGUAGAGGGUAACAACCCCGUAGUCGAAACUUCGUUCUCUCUUGAAUGUAUCCUGAGUACGGCGGAACACGUGAAAUUCCGUCGGAAUCUGGGAGGACCAUCUCCCAAGGCUAAAUACUCCCUAGUGAUCGAUAGUGCACCAGUACCGUGA
rnacentral:rRNA from 1 species